rnacentral:rRNA from 1 species
UCGAAACAAAGUAGUAUUACUGGAAAGUAUUUCUGAA